rnacentral:rRNA from 1 species
CCUACGGGAGGCAGCAGUGGGGAAUAUUGCACAAUGGGGGAAACCCUGAUGCAGCGACGCCGCGUGAGUGAAGAAGUAAUUCGUUAUGUAAAGCUCUAUCAGCAGGGAAGAAAAUUACGGUACCUGAGUAAUAAGCCCCGGCUAACUACGUGCCAGCCGCCGCGGUAACACGUAGGGGGCAAGCGUUAUCCGGAUUUACUGGGUGUAAAGGGAGCGUAGCCGGCAGUGCAAGUCUGGAGUGAAAGGCGGGGGCUCAACCCCCGGACUGCUCUGGAAACUGUACGGCUGGAGUGCAGGGGAGGUAAGUGGAAUUCCUGGUGUAGCGGUGAAAUGCGUAGAUAUUAGGAGGAACAUCAGUGGCGAAGGCAGCUUACUGGACUGUAACUGACGUUGAGGCUCGAAAGCGUGGGGAGCGAACAGGAUUAGAUACCCUAGUAGUC